UACGAAGGGGGCUAGCGUUGUUCGGAAUUACUGGGCGUAAAGCGUAUGCAGGCGGAUCGUUAAGUCGGGGGUGAAAUCCCGAGGCUCAACCUCGGAACUGCCUUCGAUACUGGCGAUCUUGAGUCCGGGAGAGGUGAGUGGAACUCCGAGUGUAGAGGUGAAAUUCGUAGAUAUCUGGAGGAACACCGGUGGCGAAGGCGGCAUCCUGGACCAAUAUUGACGCUGAGGAGCGAAAGCCAGGGGAGCAAACGGG
rnacentral:rRNA from 1 species